UUGUGUUAUACACGUGUAAUAAGAAUUGUGAUGCAUUCUGUUGUCAUGUAUUUAAAAAAUAAAAGCAAUUUUAAAAAUUAAAUAAAAAAAAGAAAGAACACAUGCUCAGUCACCUCUCGCCCAUUACAGACAGUGAUCUCCAGAAUUCUCUCCAAUCUUCUGAGCUAAUGACCAGGGAAAACCCUACUGAGUGGUCCCACAUGGUGUGUUGGGAAGAAAAGCAUAUGGCGGCAGGAAGGUGUUGGCUUACCACGGAAAAGCUUACUACCCCCCAGAGACACAGAAGAGCUUUGUGAUCUGCAUUCCUGUUUUGGUAACUGGCUGCUGGUUAUAAACUACUAGGCGACAGGAAGAUAAUCAAGAGCUUCCCAAGGAAGGGCUUGGAAAACCAGAGAGGAGUACUCAGGCCACACAAUCCCACGCUCUACCUCUGGGCUCUGUGUAACACUUCAUUUUGCCUGUAUAGACAUACAACGCACGCGUGCACACACAUGUGACCCAUAGCUUCUCAGAGAGACCAGUCUGCACGAGAAAAGCCCCGUUCUCAACAGGCACGAAGUAGACUCUGCAUGCUCUGCACAGCACCCAAGGGACCUCAAGUCCCGUAUCCCAUCUGGGGGUGUUCACCUCCUCAGGCCGGCUCAGCACGUGCCCCUCAGGGCCUGUGAUGCCCAGAUCCAGGAUCCUCUGCUGUUCCUGAAAAGUGUAAAGAAAGCCAGGUGGUCAGGAAGCUGGCCUUCAGGUCUGACCAGCAGAGACCUGGGACCAGGGUUACCCGAGCAAGAUGUGAAAUUGGCUCUGCUGAUCACUCUGCCCUCGUCCCAAGACCUUAUAAAGAAAAAGGUUCACUGCCCUAUACCCUGGCCUGUCUGACCAGCCUCUUCAAACCUCUCAGCCUUCCCCUGGGAGGCUGAGAGCAAUAUGCUCCUGGUCCUCAGCCUCAGCCACAGUGUAAGAUGCCCAGGCGUGACCAGGGAGCUUCCGAACCCCACCCAAGGCAGCUGCACUAUGGUUCCAAGGGAAACAGCCUCCUUGAAAGAGGGACUGGCUAGCGGGAUGCUCAUGCCUACAGGGAGACUGCAGCGGAGUCCAGCCCAGGAACACCAGGCCCUCUGAUCUCCCUCCGUGGUGUUCAGCUACCCAAGUCACCCUCCAGGAGAUGCAGAAAUGAUGCAAAAAAAAGCCCCCUACCUCUGCAAUGAUGUCACCGUUUUCCGCGUGGACUUGGGCUAUGGCACCAAUAUCCCGGAUCACACUCAGUACUUCAUAAAUCUGAGAGAGAGGAAGGUGGGAUCAGUCAAGGACUCCGCAAUUUACAAAGCAGCACAAACCAAAAGGACACGGAUGAGAGUGAGAAGCCCAGGGCUAAAGCACUGGGCUCACAUUCUCCCCAAAGGCUGAAUAACAUUCGUAAAUGACUCCACCAGCCAAGCCCCACAAAGCUAAGGGAUGUACGUAUACUGGAGAAUGCUUUCCCAGGGGGCAGCAGUGGCCACAUGCCCACAAGCCCAUUCAGAAGAGCUGACGCUUACCUGGGAAUCCGUUAGCUGGAAGCGAUCUUUGAAAGCCAUGUACACGAGGAAGGAGUUGACCCCUGGUGACAGACAAAAUAGAGAGGGAGACGUGACUUUUAAUUCACAAACCCAAACCAAAUAAUCAGAAAGGGAAUGAGAAAGUGAUGCUACCACACGUGUGUGUGUGUGUGUGUGUGUGUGUGUGUGUGUGUGGGAGAGAGAGAGAGAGAGAGAGAGAGAGAGAGGAGAAAGGAAAAGAGACAGAGAUGGAGAUACAGAGAGAAUGAUAAAGCAUAAAGCAAACAGGGUAAAACAUAAACAA